UCCGAGUUGACCCCGGCAGUCUUCGAUGAGUCCCCGCCAUAACGCGCUGGCAACAUCGAACGAGGGUUGCGCUCGUUGCGGGACUUAACCCAACAUCUCACGACACGAGCUGACGACAACCAUGCACCACCUGUGAACCGGCCCCAAAGGGGAAACCACAUUUCUGCGGCGAUCCGGCCCAUGUCAAGCCCAGGUAAGGUUUUUCGCGUUGCGUCGAAUUGAACCACAUGCUCCACCGCUUGUGGGGGUCCCCGUCAAUUCCUUUGAGUUUUAGCCUUGCGGCCGUACUCCCCAGGCGGGGUGCUUAAUGCGUUAGCUUCGGCACGGACGGAGUCGACACCGCCCACACCUAGCACCCAUCGUUUACGGCGUGGACUAC
rnacentral:misc_RNA from 1 species